UGUUUACCAUGCAAGUCGAACGGAAACGAAAAUAGCUUGCUAUUUGGCGUCGAGUGGCGAACGGGUGAGUAACGCGUAGGAAUCUACCCAGUAGAGGGGGAUAGCCCGAAGAAAUUCGGAUUAAUACCGCAUAAUCUCUACGGAGUAAAGAAGGCCUCUUUACAAUGCUUUUACUAUUGGAUGAGCCUGCGUUAGAUUAGUUAGUUGGUAGGGUAAAAGCCUACCAAGGCGACGAUCUAUAGCUGGUUUUACGAGAAUGAUCAGCCACACUGGAACUGAGACACGGUCCAGACUCCUACGGGAGGCAGCAGUGAAGAAUAUUGGACAAUGGGGGAAACCCUGAUCCAGCAAUGUUGCGUGUGUGAAGAAGGUCCGAGGAUUGUAAAGCACUUUCAGUAAGCAAGAAAAAUGUAAAUCUAAUAGAUUUGCAUGUUGACCACUUAUAGAAGAAGCACCGGCUAACUCCGUGCCAGCAGCCGCGGUAAUACGGAGGGUGCGAGCGUUAAUCGGAAUUACUGGGCGUAAAGGGUAAGUAGGCGGUUUAUAAAGUCACAUGUGAAAGCCCUAGGCUUAACCUAGG
rnacentral:rRNA from 1 species